CAAAAAAACAAACAACAACAACAACAACAACAAAACCAACAACAACAAAACCAUGAGGCAGAGAUACCCAGAGCCAGGUUAUCUUGGGACACUACUUGGGUUGAGACACCCACAGCCCUUUCCUUACCCAGGACCCUCACCCUCAUGGAGCUGCACACACACCCCUUUCCCAAGAAAGCAAUCAGGUCACUUUGACCUAGCUGCUCUUAGUUAAUUCUUUUUCUGUGACCAAACAGCUUCUCAAAACUAUCCAGGGACCAGUGGCAGAGUGCUGAUCAAGCCUGGGCUGAUUUGGUACACUUUCAGUAGGUCACACUGUGUCCUCUAAGCGAACUUUUAGGGGAAAUCCCUACUUACAUCUCAUGACUAUGCAUGACUGGGCACGCAUAGGAUUAAAGCCAGAUGCGUUGGGGUAAGGACGUGCCCAGCGAACAGAGGCUGACUUAACAGAAGCCUGUCAGUUAAAACAAAAGACCACCCAUAUCUCACCCUUAGCAGCAAGUCCUGGACCAUCCAAAGAGGCCCCAGGCCAUUACCAGGCAUUUCGGAAUACUUUGUCUCAGACAGUCCCUGCUCCACUGCCAAGUAUGGACUCUGUCCUUAUUACACCUAACCUUGAAUGAAAUCCCUCCAUACCUGUGGUGUUUUUGAACAAGAUCCUGGAAACGCCACUCUCCAGACAGAGACCUUUGGCAGCGCACUGGGGUACAAUGCAGAGGACCAUGAGUCAGGUGGGAGCCAUCCUCGGCCUUGGGUGGAGAAGGAGCCAGGUGACCCUUGGUUCUUGAAGAGCAGUGUUGCUUCUGUUUGUCACUACAGAACCUUCCUGAAGGCAGACUUGGGUCUUUGAGGAAGCUGCUCAGAUCCACGCACUGAAAGGCCUCCUGUGAAGGCUGAGGUCACCAUCUUUGGCUGAGUUUCUCUGUGAGAAGGCUGAAGCAAAAGUGCCUGAUCCCCUCAGUGCACUGCGAACGUCAGGAGCUCCUGCAUCCCAUGGUUAAACCCCAGAUGUAAUGACAGACCGCCAUACAUACUCUAACAUCACCAGCACAGGGCUCUGCCAAUGUGUGCCCAGGAGGGAAGGUCGGACUGGCUUAUGGAGCCCAGUUUAUCCUCUACCUCACUAUGGUGGCCGUGGCUGAUCUUGAACUUCUGACUCACCUUUCUCUGCCUGCCUAAGUCCUGGGAUUAUAUGUGUGGGCCACGACGCCAGGCUUAUUUUAUAUAUUUUGUUUAAAUUUAUUUAUUUAUUUAUGUGUGCCAUAUGUGUGGAGGUCAGAGGAGAAUUAGCAGGAGGAGGACCCUUCUACCACAUGGGUCCCAGGGACUAAAUUCAGGUCAUCAGGCUUGACAGCGAAUGCCUUUACCCACCACACCAUCUACUUUAUAGGCCCACAUUUUAGAAAUUUUAAUGAAUUUUAUUAAGGAUGUAUGUGCAAUUUUAGGGUUGCUGAUUACUGCUAACCUGUUUAUCUUUAAUGACUCAGUUGAUCGAAGUUCAUUUCACUUUACAUUAAUUCACUCAUUAGAUUGUAUAAGUUUGACGACACUUAGCACCAGAUCUUGAAAUCUGAACUUUUUCAGCCUUCAUAGAAUGCUGCAGAAAACCUUAUUUUAUUUCACAAAAUUCCCACGACACCUUGUUCUGUGUGGAAAUGAAAAACAUGGCACAGAGCUGUCUUCAGGCUGUGUGUGUGGUGUGUACGAACGGUAAAUGGAUCUGACUCGGUCCCACCUCCAAGGUGUUUCAUUGUGUUGCUGCAAACAUCUCACCUCCCCACCCCUACUCCCCACCCUGCCUCCCAAACUGAAACACCUGUUGGUAUUUCGGAUAAGGGAUUCUCAACCUGUGUAUUAAUAUUAAUAAACUUGUAUUGGUUUUCUUAUUAUUAGCUCAACAAAUUAACACCAAUAUAGUAGCUUGGGGCAGCUUGCCGUGACAGGCCAAAACAACACAGAGGUCCCUCCAUCUUGUGUUCUUGCUGAGGCCAUUUCAUGUUUAACUAGAAUUUGAUCUCCUUGAUGGAGAAUUCCAUGGAAAACUACCUAACUCUACUCUAGAAACCUGAGUUCCAGAUGCCCCAGCUAGCAUAUCUUAGCUUCUGUUAAACUGUCUGCUUGAUCAGCCCCUCAGUCCCCUG